rnacentral:lncRNA from 10 species
GAUGGCAUGAUCCUGAAGACUCACUUCCAUAAGGAUUGGCAGCAGUGUGUGGCUACUUGGUUCAACCAGCUGGCCUGGAAGAUCUGCAGACUCAAAUCCAGGCAAGCAAAAGCAUGCCCUGCAUCUGGACCCAUCCAGCCCGUAGUAAGAUGCCCCACAGUAAGGUAUCACACCAAAGUAUGAGCUGGCAGGUCCUUCAGCUUGGAAGAGUUAAAGGUGGCUGGCAUCCAUAAGAAGGUAGACUGGACCAUUGGCAUCUCUAUGGAUCCAAGAAGGUGGAACAAGUCCACUGGGUCCCCGGUAUCCAAUGUGCAAUGGCUGAAGGAGUACUGCUGUAAGCUUAUCCUCUUUGCCAGGAAGUCCUUGGGCCCCAAAAAGGGAGACAGUUCUGUGAAGAGUUCAAAUUGGCCACCCAACUGACAAGACCACUAAUGCCCAUACGGAAUUUCUACAAGAAGGAGAAAACCAGAGCCAUCAUUGAGGAAGAGAAGAACGUCAUAGUAUUUGCCAGUCUUCACAUGGCCCACACCAAUGCCCAAAUG